AAAGCUGCAGGGAGCUGGGCGGUGGUGGCACACACCUUUAAUCCCAGUACUCGGGAGGCAGAGGCAGGCGGAUCUUUAUGAGUUCGAAACCAGACUGGUCUAAAAGAGAGAGUUCCAGGACAGCCUCCAAAGCCACAGAGAAACCGUCUCAACGCCCCUCCAAAACAUAAGCUGCAGAGGAAAAAGACCAAAUCACAUAUAAAGGCAGGCCCAUUAGAAUAACAUCUGACUUCAGUGCAUACUUCAAUGCCAGAAAGACUUGAACAUAUGUUCUACAAACUCUGACAAAGCUCAGGGAUUGAUUUCUGACCAGUUCCCACCCUGAAAAUCUUCACCCUGAAAAAUCUCCACCCCUAAGAAACCCUAUAUAAUCCCUGUACCCGUUCAGUUUGAAGUUGCCUUUUUCUACCCUGGCAGAGGCAGCCAUACUGGAUUCCUCCCAGUAAAUCUCUUCAAUGAGGUUUGGGUGGAGCAGGAUAGAGAAAUAUCAGUAUUUGCCACAGCAGGAGCGGAGCUGCUACAUUUCUGUGAGGAAUCUCCCUUAGCAGAGCUGUAAUAGUUCUCCAGGGGAGGAGCAGAGUUGCUACAUUCCUGCAGGGAAAACUGUCCCCACCAGAACAGAGUUGUAGGUAUUGCCUGUUUCGGAAAUCCAGAAUGCCUUUCCCUUCGGAACUAUAACACUUACAGGUAUUGCAUGACAGGGAAGUCCAGAAUUCCUUUCCCUUCAGAGCUAUAACACUUAACAAGUAUCGCCUCGCUUCUGACAACCAGGAUGCCUUUCAUUCCAGAGCUGUAAUACUUAAUACUCAUGCUUAUGCAGCAAGCAAAAACAUUAAACUUGGAAAUUAAUACGGAGUAAGGCAAACAGUCAUAUGAGAGAUAGAUCCGUAGCCUCUGGUAUAUAGGGUUAAUUUUGCAGGAUCUGGUGAGACUGUAGCAAGCACCAUGCAUUGGUGUCCCUAUCAGAAUAUAUAACCUUGCACUAGGCCCUCUGUCUUCCCUCAUUUGUAAACCUAGCAUCCUAUCUUAUACUUCCUUUUUAGCACUCAAUUUCCCUCCAGAAUAGGAAUUCGCUCCUAAAGUUCAGCCAAGAAUUUGAGUCUUUGGUUCAAUGCCUACUUUUGUCAGAAUAGGAAAGACUGGACUUCAUAACUGACCUGUUUCCAGUAACAGCACCAGAAGGUAACUUUGUACUCUCAGUUUGACCCAAUGCAGCCAUUAAACCUAAUUUCCUUCCAGGUAGAUAACAGACAGCACCAGUAGGCAUCAUCCCAGGUUCCACAGGAAACAACAGCGAAGGCUAGCUUUCUCUCAUAAAGGCUCACACUGAAAUUGGAUCAUUUACUGUCGGUGUUCUGAGUUACUGGAGCCUAAAGAAAGAGAGACACUGCAGGAUGUUUUACGAGAUCUGCCCAGCUUUC
rnacentral:lncRNA from 1 species